ensembl:snRNA U6 U6 spliceosomal RNA
UUGCUCACUUCGGCAGCACAUAUACUAAGUUUGAAACAAUACAGAGAAGAUUAGCAUGGCCUCUGUGCAAGGAUGACACACAAGUUUGUGAAGCAUUCCAUUUUUUA